AGAGGAUGCAAGGGCCCCAUGGGAUUGGUCUCCGCCUUUGGGGCUCAUUAGUCACCAGGUGCACUUUGUCAGCAUCGCGAUAACCCAGAAGAGAACAUGUGUAGAUGGCCUCUAUGAAGCUCUUUUGCUUGUCAGCAGCUGGUCAAAGUUAGCAGAAAUGGGAGGAAGCGAACUCAACCAACAAAAGAGAACUGAGCGAUUCAUCCCGGGACUCUGCUCUCUCCGUUUUUCCCCCUGUUGAACUGAAAGCAACGCUAGUCCUGAACGGAUGAAUGAGCAGAAGUAAAAGGAAGAGAAGGAGGAGAAGGAGGAAGAGAAAAAGAAGAAUGUGAGGAAAGUCCAGAAUCCCUAUAAAUCAAGACAUAAAAAAGCGUUUUUGUAAAUCUCA
rnacentral:antisense_RNA from 1 species